rnacentral:rRNA from 1 species
CGGUUUAAUGGGCUGGUUAAGCCGGUAAGGGUCAACGGGAUUCUUGUUCCGCUUCUUCAUCGCGUGGUGGUUACCGCUGAGGGCCCCUACCGCUCCUGCGCGGCGGCGGCGGCGGCCACCUGCGCCGCCCCCGACCUCCGUCGAACUAGCGCUUCCACGCCCUCGUUACCUCCUCGUGCUUUCUCGUGCGCCUCUGCAUGGGCAUGCACACCCCGAGGAUGUAGGAGCAGAUGCCGCCGGAGCCGCGCAUGUAGUGGACCGCUACCACGUUCGAGGCGGCGUGGCUCCUGGCGCAGGCGCGGGAGGUCCGGGCGGAGGCGGUCGAGCGGCGCCGGCUCCUCAGCGUCCGGCGAAGGUGAGGAGGAUGGGGUAGAGGAGGGGACGGCGGCGGCGGCUGACCCGGCCCGUUCGGGCGGAGGCGCGGCACUUCUCAUUCCGGGGAAUCCGUUGAAGAACUGAACUUUACAAUGUUCAAUGUCUUGUUAGGGACGUAGCAAGCUCUAGCUCCGUAAGGAACGGAGACAAAUGAGACACUAGGACCUGGAUUUCUUUACCACCCUAGAGCGGGGGUUUUUUCAACCUUCCGUCUUAAGACACAAGUAUGACCUCUGGUAAGACCUCUUCCAAAAUUAACAACAAUAAUUACAUACAAAUGGGAAGGGCGAUCCCUUAAAACAGUGGCACUGGAAAAAAG